rnacentral:rRNA from 1 species
UACGGAGGGAGCUAGCGUUGUACGGAAUUACUGGGCGUAAAGCGCACGUAGGCGGCUUUGUAAGUUAGAGGUGAAAGCCCGGGGCUCAACCCCGGAAUUGCCUUUAAGACUGCAUCGCUUGAAUUGUGGAGAGGUAAGUGGAAUUCCGAGUGUAGAGGUGAAAUUCGUAGAUAUUCGGAAGAACACCAGUGGCGAAGGCGACUUACUGGACACAUAUUGACGCUGAGGUGCGAAAGCGUGGGGAGCAAACAGG